AAGCUAGUGAAGGUUUUUAAGGAAAGCCAAGAGUGAUGUAAUCAGAUUUGCAUUUCAGAAAAUGCCCCUGACUGUAGUAUGCCAAGUCCACUGAAGAGGGCUUGUGUGGGAAGAACAAGGACCAGCUGGGACUAAAGGUAGUGUUAGCAAAAGAAGAAAAGCAGGCACAUUUAAAUGCAUUGGGAUCAACUUUCCCCAACUCUGUUUCCCCAUAUCCUGAUUCCCCAGUUUUUGAGUGCAUGCUCACCUUCUCUGACAGAGCUUCCUCUAGCGUCGCCAGUGCAGUAUCUGUAUUACUGGAAUCCGUCUGCAAGGACUUCACUCUGUCUUUCAGGCCAAAAUUCCUGAAGUGGAUCUAUUAAUAAAAAAAGAAAGAAAAAGACCUGAAAUGAUAGAAAUUGUCAGUAGCUUUGACUUAGACAAAAGGCCAUUUUGAUGAAAUCUUCAUUUCUCCAUUUAGUUCAAGUCUGUCUUUAAAUGGUGAUACAGAGGAGCAGAGUAUCUCCCUCCAUACAACGGUAAGCCCUUCUGACACGUACGUAAUCACUAUUAUUUCUUUGUAUUUCUAUCCCUUUUACCAGCCUUUUAGGUCUCAAGUCGAUAGGCUUGAACUUGGUACACUGAACCAGGGAAAUAUUAUGCAAGAUUAAUUCAUUGAUUAAACAGACAUUUACUGGAGAGCCCAUUCUGCACCAAGUACCAUAUCAGUAUAUGGCAGAUCCCAUGUAGCCAUUCACUUACUCCUUUAUUUCAGUAUUAAAGUUUGUGAUAUGCCAAAUGUUGUCAAGUGGCUGUUUCAAAGUAACCACAUGAAAAGCCAAGUAGGUUAUCACCAGCAGACUGUUAAUGGGAAGAACUUGUGAUAUAAGUCAAAUGUAACAAGUACUAAACACUCCAUUUGGCAACUAAGUCAUGUGCUGGCAACCAACCAGCCACUUUUAUCCACUAUCUGCAGCCUGAAAUAAACACGCCAAAUAGCCGAUUACAAUGCCUGUCCAGGAGCAGCAGCAAGGACUUUCUCCUGGGCAUUGAGGACAUUAUCAUUCAUGUUUUUAUUCUCUGCUUUCAAACCAUGUAUUUCUUAUCUAAGGAUUUAAAAAAGCCCCACUAUACAAACAAUUUAUUCGUAUUAAGGGUUUUAAAAUGACAAGGAAAAAAAGCAGUACAACUCUAAGAUAAGUCCAUUCAAAAUAUUUGCAUUCUGCACCCAGCUUUCUCAGGGAAUCAUUCCAAAAGUAUGUUUCACAAUGUACACUCAAACAAAUUUUUUGAUUACUUGAUUCCCUUAGCAUGUAUCUGGAAUGGUAAUCCAAAUAAUAAUAAUAGUAAUCCCAGUAGUAAUGAGGAGGAGGAGAUGAUUACAAUGACAAUGGAGGUGGCAGCAGUAGCAGCGUCAAAAACAGCUCUGGAUGCAAAGACAAUGGCUCUGCUGACCUUCAAUCUGGAGGACAUGGUCUUGGCUAAUUUUUUCAAUGGCCACAAUGGAAACCCGUAAACUUUGUGGCCUAACAAAGAUGAAAUUUUUUUUCUUUCCUUCCUUUCUUCCAGCCUCCUUCCAUCCUUCGUUCCACCUUUCCUUCAUUCAUUUUUUUUUCUUCUGCCUUGAGAUAGACAGCUUAGAAACUCAGGUUAUAGGUCAAAUAAUUAUUCUUUUCCUUCAUCAAAAUGUAAUGUGUUCCCAUCCAGCUGCCACUGUGAAAAUUAAUUGCCACUCCUUGGAAAACACAGCAAUUCAGAAGGCAUAAUCAUCUCCAGUCAAAACAAAGGCUUCCUCCCUUCCAGACAAAUGUUCACACAAAAAUACACAUAAGUAAGAAUAUGGAUGGUUAUAUGUCAGAAUGAUACUGGUUAUAUGGAAGAAGCCAGCAGCUGAGAGGACUGACUCUUGGAAACAGUGUAUGUUAUUACUUUGAAUACACCCAUGGAUACAUUUGUGUACACACAUGUACGCAAAUCCACCGUGGUUCUGAAUACACUGAUUAGACCCACUGGCCCACCCUGGCAGACAGUGCCCUGGGCAUAAGAGGAGGACAUCAGCCUUGGGGCAGUAGUAGGCAGCAAUUUCAAAGGACUUUGGGCACGAGAAAUAGAGACCAAAGGAAAAGUGGCUGUGCACUUAUGUCAUAAUCCCUGGGGCCUCCUCAUAUAACUGGAAAGACUAGGGAGACUGAGGGUCAGGGUCCUACUGGCAUGCAGGUAGGGGUCAAGAGCUGAAGAAAUAGGGAUGGUGGAGACUGGAGACAUGCGAUCUGUUUAUCUCACAUCUAAGAACCCAGCAGAAGAGCCAAUGAUACUGCAGGUGUGACUGACUAACAGAGCUGGAAUUAAAGAUGUAUUUAUUGAGCUAGGGAUGCACCACUUUAAGAAAUGCUGCAAAAAGAUCACCAAGAAUGACUCUUAAGAGAAAAAAAUAAGGUACAGAACAGUGUGUAGCAUAUAAUCUCUUGCAUAAAAUUUGAAACAUCUAUAAACAGAUAAAUAUAUCUGGAAACAAAUCACAAGAAAUUUUAACUUUUGUAGGGUAAGGUCUAGGAGGCAGAAGGAAGAAGGAGUUUCUGGUUUUCAUCUUUGUACAUUUGUGUAGAUUUCUGCUUGAAUUUUCUAACCAUGUGGGUUUUAUUAUUUUAAAAUGUCAAUCAGGGUU
rnacentral:lncRNA from 1 species